CCCUGUAUUAAGAAAAACUAUUAAAAAAAUAAGAGUUUUAGUUUAAAAUAUGAGCUUUAGAACUGCUUCAAACUUAGAGAACCUCUGAGAUUCACGAUGUGGCUCUGAAUCAGCUGCCUUGAUGUUUGCUACUGAAGUACAUGGGAUUGGGAGCCCUGUCUGUCCCUGUACCUUCAACCCACAGAAAACUAGAUGGGCAGAGAACAUGUGACCUGUCUUGUUAUUUGAUGAAACUAAUGAAACCUGGAAGUAUUGUUUUGAUUUUUUCAAGACAUUCUUAAAAAAUGAUUUGCACCUCCCAAGCCACCUCAGCACAAAGGCAAUUUAAAUUACUUUUCAAUCAAUAAUGCAAAUAAAGUGUUACUUCAAGCCCAAGAGUAGGGAAAUAACACAUUAUAAAUGAUUUCCCGAGUUCCAGAUAGAAUCUGCAGAAUUUUGCAGUUCUUACAGAAAAUGAGUGGAUGGUAAUCCCACAGUAAGUUAUCUUCCCAGUAAAUGUGUGUAGGUCCUGAAGGCAGUGCCACACUCGUAAUUCAGUUGGUCAUUUGGCUGGCUGGACAGAGACAGAGGGAAUUAAGCAGAAAGCCUUAGGACAAAGGGACUCUGCAGUGCCUUUAGGCUAGUGUGGUUCACAUUCUAAUUUACUACCUGUUUUUUAAUGACUUUUCUAUGAAUCUCUCUCUGGGAGGUCUUUGUCUUCUCCCAGUCCAGCAAUUCUUCAUUUACCAUCUUCUUACAGCAUUUGGCACAUUCUAACUUCCAUUAUUGUUAUCUCAGGCAAUAUUAAGAACAUCAUUGACUUUGAAAAUAGAUUAUCAAAUCUCUGAUCAGUAUUUAGGUGACAUCAGGUAAGCUUUCUUAAAUGCUCAAAUUUGAGUAUUUCUCAUUAAUUGAGUUAAUAGAGAUAAUCUUACCAGACUCAUGUGUUUUCAUGAGUGUUGCGUGAGACUAUAUAUGUAAAGUGUUUAGCACAGACCUGAAAAAGAGUAAAAGCUUAAUAAGCUGUAACUAGCAUAUACUUUCUUCAUCUCUUUUACUAAAUUUAAGUUUCUUGAGAAUUAACUCCAAGAUUAAUCUUCUGUACUGUAAUGUCAGAGAAGUAAAGAGAUAAUGCUAACAUGGUUUCUAUAGAACAUUCCUGAAUCAUAAGCACAUUUCAUACAGAGCUCUUGUUAAUUACCCUCUACUUCAUGUAGUCUCUAUUUCUCAAUGAGUAUUGAUCAUGGAGGAGCUCUCGACCUUUUCUCUUGGUUCACUGGAGUGUUUGCUUCCUGCGUUUUGCUCUGGUACAUCGGACAGAUGGGCUAUUGCAGAUCCCAGGAAGUAACUCUAACUUUGUCUCCCACACAAUAUAGCAAACAGAAAGGCAAGAUAGCGUGACUGAAGUUAUUGAAAGGGCUGCUUUGUAUCUGUUUGAUUUUCUUUUUUUUUUCAAAAAAGAAGCACAUCACUAAAGACCACUCAUAACUAAAUUAUUUGAAAUAUACUUCAUGCUGAUCAGGAACAUGUGCCAAGACGCAGGAACUGAGCACAGCUUUAAUGAUUUCUUUUUUUUUUUAUAGUAUUCAAAAGUCAAUAGAUGAAAGAUCAUCCAGGAAGGUAAAUCACACUGUGAGGUAAUUCACUAGAGACUCACAUCCAGUCAUGUGUAUUCUUCCCUGUCCAUAACUGAGCUCAAUUCUUUCUAUUUAGUAUGGAGCAAUGAUUCAAAACUCCACAAAAAUUCAGAAUUUCACACGUUGAACAGUUUUCGUCACAUUGUUAACUUCUCUAGCCCUUAAGUUACCUAUUUACUUAUUCACAAUAGAAAAUCUGGCUCACUCUUCUUUCAGGACAGAUCUGGUGACCCUAAUUUUGAGGUGUUAGAAGACAUAGAACCGUAUAAGCACUGAGCCAGAAAAUUAUAUGUCAUACUCUCUUUGGUGCAUUCCUCUUCAGGGGUGACUAAACAAUUUACAUCCUUGGAGAAGAUGACUUUGAAAUCCAGCUCUGAAAAAACUGCUCCAACAGUGAUGAUUUCUCAAAAGGAGUCUGGCAAACCAUCUUACAUCUAUCUUCCAACAUGCCUGUGAGGAAGAAACUGGAGCAAAUAAGAUGGAAGCCCUGGCAAGGUCUCAAGACCAAGGGGAGCUAUAUCUGGAUCUGACUUAAAGACUGUCAUGAGAUCCUGAACUUUAAGGCUGAGAACAUGAUGGGAUGAGAUUUUAAGGUAUCUUCUUUGGGGAAAUACAUAGAAUAUUUUGAGUGCAGAAAUAUUUGUGAUCAAGAGUGAAGUCUUUGAUCAAUCACAUUAUUUUUCACCCUCAUUAACUGCUCUGGAGAGAAGCGGAUUAUACUUGCUUACCAAUUACUGUGUUAAUUUCCAAUACCUCCUGUGGGAGAAGUUUAUAUUCCCAACACACUGAGAUUUAGUUAAUUGUUUAUGAGCAAAUAUGAUGUACUGUAUUACCUGUAUUACCUAAUCAGAGGCUCUUAGAGGCAUCCCAGGUUCCUGCCCUUCGUUUUGCUGUUUGGUCUCCUGUCAUGGGGAUAUACAUGGCCCACUUGAGAGAGAAAUCUUCAGCCUGGAUCCCAGGAUAAGAAAACCUGGAGGGGAUAGAUGAAGUAUAUCCACAGACUGAGCAAAGCCACAGAUGAACCACAGCCCACAUGCCAGUGGAAAGAUAAAUAAACAUUUGGUUUUGUAAAAGCUAUAAAAAGAAAAUGCUACCACCAGAAAACCACUGCAUCACCCCUUGUAUUUCAAUAGAAAGCAAGAUUCUUUUAAAGGAAGGGAGUUUGUCCUAUUUGAAAAAUACAUGCACAUACUUAUAAUUGGUAAUACAAUUCAGGAUACAUGUCAGGUUAGAUUCUCUGUAGAAGUAGAAAACAGGAUUCUACCUGUCAAUCUUAUAUUCAGUACUGCAAGAAAAACUUUUGGUAAAUUAGUCUCCCUGGGCUUCAAAGUCUUCAUCUAUCGAACAGAAAUAUAUACCCUGUCCUAUGAUCUUUGAGGAUUUUUUGAAAAUCCAAAAAUGUAAGAAGUGUCAAAGACUUUAAGACUUUUUCUAAGACUUAAAUUAAUAUGAAGAUCUUGUUGUAUGAAAUUGAAAAUAUACACUCUUAAAUAACACUGGUACAAGGAAAGGCUAUUCUGUCUUUGAAAAUGAAACCAUUUUCAGUUAAUGUAGACAAUGUGUUUGUUGCACACAUGUUCAAAUAUACAAUUUCUACAAGAUGAUCACAGAGAAAAACAUGUAUUUGCAUAAAUAAAACCCUGAGUUUCUGUGCACUCAUUAGCACAGGCUUUCAAGAGAGAACAAUUAAAUGUAAGCAAUAAAUCUGUGGAAAUUGAGCAUCUUUAAAUAUAGUAGAAAUUGCUAUUCUUGUAAAGAUUGUUUGCUAAAAUUGUUCAGUGAUUCUGGAGACCAAAAUUGUAGUUUUCAUCAUUUUCUGAAUAUGAGUUUUUCUUCUUUGGAGAAAAAAUAUUGUAAUAGAGGUAAAUAAAUUAUUCUUAAAUCCUUUACCAAUAACACUUUAUAAGCAAUUACAAUGAAGAGGGACUAUUUUACUGAAGUCUUCAUUAUAUUACAUCAUGUACUCAUUGGAAGUGAUGAGAAGUGAAUCUUAGUAUGUACUGAAUACUGAGCCGAUGCAGGCAUUUACAUGCAUUGGCAUUGAGGUUUUGAAGGCAGGUGUACAAAUCUGGACGCAGUAUAUUGGCCUACUAUAUAUUUUUGUGAUGAGAAAAUAGGAGCUAUGGUGGUGUUUUUCUAAUCAGGUAAUAAUUUCCUUCACUGUAAGUUAUUAGUACAACUCAUUUAAACCGUGUUUAUCAAAUGACUGGUAUGUCAGGUGUUCUGCUAGCUGCUGGGGUAUGUUGAAGGAUUCAAUUCUUGUCAAGGAAAAAAUUACCAUUCCUCCGUGGACCUUAAACUCUCAUGGUGGAUGACAGAUAUUAAUUUUAAAAUUCACAUUAAUGCAUGUGAUUAGAUAUGCAAUAAGGCAAUGAAGAAGUACAAGAUGCUUUGGAAACAUAUAACAGAGUAUCUGGUCUGAUAUAUGGAUGAACUUGAGAUUUUUUCCUGAAGCAAUGAUAUGUGAAAUGAGACUUGAAAGAUGUAUAGAAGUUGAGCUUGUAAAGACUGGAGGAAAGAAAUGAACUUCUCAACAGAAACAAUAGCACAGGUGGAAAGUUGGAGAUGGUAAAGGACUCGGUGUCUGCAGAAGAGUGAAUGUGUCUGUAGGAUCGCUGGUGAGGGUGGAACAGGAAACAAGAAGAGUAGGUUGAAAUGAGGGUGGAGAGUUAGUCAGGGGCUAGCUCUUGCAGGGCCUUUAGGUGAGGCAGAGAAUUUAGAUUGCAUUGUAUUUCAUUUCCAACUGCAAUGAGGAACAGGUAUUAAACUUGGGAAAUAUUUCAGACAAAGAAAAUCAUCUGUGCAAAGUCCCAAGGGUGUGACAAAGCAUGAUCUGGAUGUGCAGCCUCCCAAUGCAUGAAACUGGAGGGAGAGGAGUUAUAUGGGCAAAGAUGACUGCAGGUGCAAAGCCCACAUCAUGUAGGGCUUUGAAUCCAUUUUAGGGAGGUCCAGGCUUUAAUCAUAGACAAUGGGAAGACUAUGGAGAAUUCGAGCAUGUUCUGUCAUGCUAAUGGCCUCAUCUUUCAUUCAUUUAAUGUCACUUGUUGCAGUGUGGACUGUGCAUGAUAGGAAGAAGAAAGCUGAGGGAAGGAGGCUAAACAAGUUGGUAGAAUGAUCUAAGAAUCUAGACACCAUUUUAAAAAGGCAUCAUAGUUAUUGAGCAUUGUUACUUGAAGUAUAGAAACACUUGGGGGUAGAUAACCUUCUAAUAGGUAUAGAGGCUUUAUUAAAAUAUUAUAUUUGAACUUAUUUCAAAUAUAUUUGAAGGUAUCUCAUAUUUGCUUUGAAGGCAAAUCUAGAGUUAAUGAGAAGUCUAAUUCAAAUUAUGUAUUUUUAACUUUUAAGAAGGCACUCUUGUUCACUGAUUAAUUCCAUUGUACCUGUCAAAACAAUUCUAUGCUCCUAAUGUCUUCCUUAAACUUGUAGGAGCUGUUGGACUUCUGGUAUCUUCUAAUCUCAGCACAUUAUGAAUUUAUUUCUUUUUGCAUUUUGUUGCUGUCAUAUUACUGGGUUUCUGAAUCUAAAGGAACAAGUUAAUUUCUGCAUUAAAAUGUUGCUGCAUUGGGCCAUCAGAACUUUAGUUAGUAUCAUACCUAAAUUACUUGAUUUCCAAAUAUUUUUUAAUAUCGUGUAAAUCACAGUUUGGCUUUUUAUUAAAAAGGAAAUUAUUAUAAGAAGUGACCUACAAAAUGCUAGAGCAGAAAAUAACUCAGAAGAUAUCAAGUCCAUAAAAUCUAAAUGAAAAUUUGAGGGAGAGGAAUGAAAAUAAGUUAUUCAAGAAAACAGAUGUGAUUAGCACAUUGAGCAACCUUUUAAUCCAACUUCUCCACCUUCUAUCACAUUGCAGAGAUUGAAAUCAAUUUUAAAAGUAUUGGCUUGUCCUUGAUUAGGUAAGUUCAUUAAUAAUAAGUAUAGGAUACUAGAUCUCAGUUUUUUUCUUUUUUACCUAAUUUCAUGAGUUUCUUGAAAUUAUUUUCUAGACCUCAGAAUCUAUAUUCCCAAUUCAGAAAGGAUGAUUUUGAAAUAGUAAUAUUCAGGCAACAUUAUCGUGGGACGAAUGAACUAACCAUCUGGCUCAGAGAACGUCCCAGGUUGGUAGUAGGGGUGGGUAAAAUGUGGGGGUGGGUUCUCCUUUACUUUUUAGUAUGGAAGAGAACCAUUUUUUUUGCAAAUAUUUGUAUAAGCUACAAACAGUUAUUCACUCCCUAAGCAAAUAAAGCAGUAAGUUUCAGCUGAGGGGUGAGGAAGGAAGCAAGAGGGUAUGAGGACCACAGGAGUGUAGCACUGGAGAAGCUCCCUCUGCACAAGGAUAAGCUGAAAAGUGUGACAUUUCCCACCUCCUGUUGUCUAUGUUUCUUCAAUAUUGGAACAAGCCAUAAAUCUACACACACACACACACACACACACAUAUUUAAAUGGACUUUGUAGCUGGUCCAUUCACACAUCUUUUGACUCUAGUCCUGAUUUCUUUUUCAUUACCAAGGAGCAGACUGCUACCCUAGCAACCCAAGUGUCAGAUCUCACAUGCAAACACCUGCAGUCUUCAAGGAGAUCACACAUUCCUUGUAGAUAAUAAUGUGAUCAGAAAAGACGAUUUCUCCAAGUAUGUUUUUAAGGGAAGUAUACACUUGAGGGGGCAGAAUAAAACAACCAAAGGUUGUAGGUAAGGAAAACUUAACCUUUAUGAGUUAAUUGGGAGUUAAUAUAUGUUUAUUUGCCGAGUUUUUAUUGCACAACUUGCUUGUAUAAAUAUGUGCCUACAUAUAUACAUAUGUCCCAAUUCUUAUACAAACAGUAGCAUAUUAUGCAAAUUUUCUCCACCGUUCUUUCUUCACUUCUCAAGAUAUCCUAGAGAUCAUGUCAUAGAAGCAUAUAAAAACAUCCUUUAUUACCUUUUAAAACUGGAAUGCAUGAUUUUUUAAAGGUUUCCUUCAAGCUCUGGGAUUUUAUUUAGGAUCAUGGAAAAAAACUGCCUCUAUUAUUGUUUGUGCUGUAUCUGUUCCCUCUAAGCUUGUUUUUACAGUUAACCGCUUUAUUCAGCAGUUUCUUGCAAAGAACACAUAAGAAAAAAAAAAUAGGAAGUGGGAGGCCUGGCUCCUGAAAUCUCUACAUUUCCCUCUUUUGUCAUCAGGACAUAAUGCUCUGGAGAAUGUUUUUGUUUUUAUUUUAGCCAAUUAUUUAAAGGUCAAAAUAUCUGUCUUGUCCUCUGUUGCACAAAUCUCAGUUCAGUUUCUCAGUCUUUGCUUCGCUGAGCUGUGAGUCCCAUGCAUGUGCUGUCCCGGAGUCAGACCGAGAACAGGGCGGCAGCAGGGUUUGAUACCCAGGAUGGGGUCUCCCCUUUUCUAGGUCUGGGGAAAAUCCAGUCACCUCUGGGAUGUCCCUUUCAUUCUCUUGCCCACAGGUGCUCCUUUUCCUGGUUUCCCUGACUAGGAAGUUGUCAAGAUUCUGUCUUGAGUUUUGCUCCGGUGCCACCAAA